CGCUCUCGUGCUCCUACCGGCGACCCGAUUCCAUCUUCGCCGUCUGGCCACGACACGACGGCGGACCACCAUCAAUCGAAGCGUCUCUUCAUCGUCGACCUCUUGGUGGUCUCGGAUCAUCCAGGCAUUGGCUGUAGAAAGAGAAUCGAAGACCCGAAAUUCAUGAUCCUCUGACGGUUUCUGGGCAAGUUCCGGCAACUCCGGCGUCCGACCACCCCACGACGGCGCACCUGCGCCGUUCUCUUCGUCUCGACAUUGCCGUCACACUUAUUGUGGUAGUUCAUUCAAUCGUCAACUGUGGAUUGAGGAAGAAUCGACGACGAGAAGUUUUUGGAGCUCCGGCGGUCAUCAUCGAAUUCCGGCCACCGAGACACCACUGGAGUUGUCCUUUACCUGGAUCUUCAUGCACCAGAGGCGCUUGCGAUUCCCCCACUUCAAAACGAACUCGGACGUCGUCGUUUUAUCAGGACUCGAUCUCAACAGCAGUGAGCUAUCCCCUCCGGUUCUAUCUCUAGAAUUCUUGGUGUCGUUAAUAUUGGCGUGCCUCACAGAGUCUCUUUCCAUCUCCUUUUGUACACUUGUCCACCAGAAAUCACAACAGUUGGUUUUCAGUUUUGAUGGAUGGGUGUUUUGAUUGUUUCGGCCGUCGUUGGAGUUCACUGUGCUUGGCGAUCAGUUUGUGUCACUGUGCUUCGAAUGCUUUGGCCCCCUCUCUGAUUGUUGCAGAAGCUUUGGCUCUGCAACUAGUCUGUUCUCUCUCUGAUUUAGAGGAUGAGAUGCAGCUUUGAGUUGGUUGGAGAAGAAGAGUAAUAUAAGAAAUAAACAUAAGAGGAGAUUAAAAAAUAUUAAAAAAUUAGGAAGGGUGUACCAAAUGUAAAGAGGGGUGUGAAAAUUUAACCCCCCUUUCCGGAAAGGUAAGGUGCGUCCCAAACGGACUCCGUGGAGCUGUUUCGCGUCUACUAGUCACUUUUCGUUUUCCUCCUUUAGCACGAUCCAACUGUUCUUCAAAUUGGGCUGCCAUCUGUUCUGCAUCAAGCAAAACUGUAAAAGUGCAUCUCUUUUCCUGCUUUCUGCAUUCAUAAUCCGUGUAAUAUCAGUAUGAUCUUCCUACUGCAGUGUCUGUUAGUAGAAUACCAGAAGAGAUCAGAAACAGGAACUUCUCCCUCUUACCGCCUAUCCUGUCUUUCAAGAUCAAGUAAUACAAUUAUAUUCCUCAGUUUUUCAUAUUUAUGUCAAUUGUUGUGGUGCAAUACCUUAGAUGAAUAAUAUACGAAGGUGUAUCUGACUGAUGAUGGAUCAGAGUAAUGAAAAAUUAACAUUGAGGUACCAAGGCCCAAGGGUAAAAGUGGAGAUGGUAAGCAUUAAUCUUAUUCCACCUGACUAACUGGCCAUUUAUAUAUUUUCAUUGUCCACUUUGUAUGCAUUUAUACGCAUAGAUGCAGAGGUAACAAUGCUUCUUUUUCUUAAUUUAUGAUCAAUAUUUUACAUCUGGGUCUGUCCUUGAUGAUCCUAUAUUUGGAAAAAGAAAGCCAGACUCCCAACUAAGGUCUAUUGAAGAGCAUGAGAAUGGUCAAGGUGUUGAUCCUUCAUCAUUUUCAGAAAAGCUGAAAAUAGAGAACGAAUGGUGGUAUUCAGGGAUUACAGCACUUUGAAACUGUUUUACAUCAGAUCCUCCAAGGUGUUAUCAACAAAAAAAGAAACCAUGACUCUGUUAGCAAGUAGCUGUUCAAAUCAACCCCUAACAAAAAAUCCAAAGAGGAAAGUGUAAGUCAUGUAUAAUACCUAAGAUCAAGGUCAGUGGUUAGAGCACCCACUACCUAAAAUCAAGGUCAUGGGUUCGAGUCACUAUGGGGGUAGGAGUGAAAUCCUUUGAUCCUCUUUUACAAAUGUGAAG